rnacentral:rRNA from 1 species
CAGUCGCCGCGGUAAUACGAAGGGUGCAAGCGUUAAUCGGAAUUACUGGGCGUAAAGCGUGCGUAGGCGGUUUGUUAAGUCUGUUGUGAAAUCCCCGGGCUCAACCUGGGAAUUGCAGUGGGUACUGGGUCACUAGAGUGUGGUAGAGGAUAGUGGAAUUUCCGGUGUAGCAGUGAAAUGCGUAGAGAUCGGAAGGAACAUCUGUGGCGAAGGCGACUAUCUGGGCCAACACUGACACUGAGGCACGAAAGCGUGGGGAGCAAACAGGAUUAGAUACCCCGGUAGUCCCUGUCUCUUAUAC